UAGUGACAAGAAAUAACAAUACAGGGCCUAACGGUCUUGUAAUUGGAAUGAGUGAAGUAUAAACCCCUUUACGAGUAUCAAUUGGAGGGCAAGUCUGGUGCCAGCAGCCGCGGUAAUUCCAGCUCCAAUAGCGUAUAUUAAAGUUGUUGCAGUUAAAAAGCUCGUAGUUGGAUUUCUGUUGUAUAAUUUUAUAAUAUUACCAAGGUAAUUAUUAUAUUAUCAACAUCCUUCCUAUUAUAUUCUAAAUAUAUAGGAAAUUUUACUUUGAGAAAAUUAGAGUGCUUAAAGCAGGCAACUGCCUUGAAUACUCCAGCAUGGAAUAAUAAGUAAGGACUUUUGUCUUUCUUAUUGGUUCUAGGACAAAAGUAAUGGUUAAUAGGGACAGUUGGGGGCAUUCGUAUUUAACAGCCAGAGGUGAAAUUCUUAGAUUUGUUAAAGACGAACUACUGCGAAAGCAUUUGCCAAGGAUGUUUUCAUUAAUCAAGAACGAAAGUUAGGGGAUCGAAGACGAUCAGAUACCGUCGUA
rnacentral:rRNA from 1 species